GUUAAAGGGAAGCGCUCGUGUCGCACGAAGUGCGUGAGAAUUGAUUCGUCACUGACACCGUUAGCUUGCACGUUUGGGGAAAAUAGUAACUGGCCAAUUGUAUGGUGCUGCUCUCGUCCUCAAAGCUAUCUUAGUGAGAUGUCAGUCAGUCAGUACAAGUAUCAACAUGGGAUCGAUUAAAGUUUGAUAGCAUAUUAAGCACACUUGUGCAUCACUACCAUAUCAAUAAUUAUGUCUUCUCAUAUAUUAAAGUUUAAAGAUAUAUAGUUGAUUAUUUUUUGUUUCAUAAAAUGACU
rnacentral:lncRNA from 1 species